UACGGAGGAUCCAAGCGUUAUCCGGAUUUAUUGGGUUUAAAGGGUGCGUAGGUGGUUCUUUAAGUCAGGGGUGAAAGACGGUAGCUUAACUAUCGCAGUGCCUUUGAUACUGAAGAACUUGAAUACACUAGAGGUAGGCGGAAUGUGACAAGUAGCGGUGAAAUGCAUAGAUAUGUCACAGAACACCAAUUGCGAAGGCAGCUUGCUACACUGUUAUUGACACUGAGGCACGAAAGCGUGGGGAUCAAACAGG
rnacentral:rRNA from 1 species